rnacentral:rRNA from 1 species
AUUGAACGCUGGCGGCAGGCCUAACACAUGCAAGUCGAGCGAGCGGCGGACGGGUGAGUAAUGUCUGGGGAACUGCCUGAUGGAGGGGGAUAACUACUGGAAACGGUAGCUAAUACCGCAUACCAUCAGAUGUGCCCAGAUGGGAUUAGCUAGUAGGUGGGGUAAUGGCUCACCUAGGCGACGAUCCCUAGCUGGUCUGAGAGGAUGACCAGCCACACUGGGACUGAGACACGGUCCAGACUCCUACGGGAGGCAGCAGUGGGGAAUAUUGCACAAUGGGCGCAAGCCUGAUGCAGCCAUGCCGCGUGUAUGAAGAAGGCCUUCGGGUUGUAAAGCACUUUCAGCGGGGAGGCGUUACUCGCAGAAGAAGCACCGGCUAACUCCGUGCCAGCAGCCGCGGUAAUAC